GCCUUAGUAACGGCGAAGUGAAGCGGCAAAAGCUCAAAUUUGAAAUCUGGUACCUUCGGUGCCCGAGUUGUAAUUUGGAGAGGGCAACUUUGGGGCCGUUCCUUGUCUAUGUUCCUUGGAACAGGACGUCAUAGAGGGUGAGAAUCCCGUGUGGCGAGGAGUGCGGUUCUUUGUAAAGUGCCUUCGAAGAGUCGAGUUGUUUGGGAAUGCAGCUCUAAGUGGGUGGUAAAUUCCAUCUAAAGCUAAAUAUUGGCGAGAGACCGAUAGCGAACAAGUACAGUGAUGGAAAGAUGAAAAGAACUUUGAAAAGAGAGUGAAAAAGUACGUGAAAUUGUUGAAAGGGAAGGGCAUUUGAUCAGACAUGGUGUUUUGUGCCCUCUGCUCCUUGUGGGUAGGGGAAUCUCGCAUUUCACUGGGCCAGCAUCAGUUUUGGUGGCAGGAUAAAUCCAUAGGAAUGUAGCUUGCCUCGGUAAGUAUUAUAGCCUGUGGGAAUACUGCCAGCUGGGACUGAGGACUGCGACGUAAGUCAAGGAUGCUGGCAUAAUGGUUAUAUGCCGCCCGUCUU
rnacentral:rRNA from 1 species